rnacentral:rRNA from 1 species
AUUGAACGCUGGCGGCAGGCCUAACACAUGCAAGUCGAGCGAGCGGCGGACGGGUGAGUAAUGUCUGGGAAACUGCCUGAUGGAGGUGGAUCACUACUGGAAACGGUAGCUCAUACCCCAUACCCUCAUAUGUUCCCAGAUGGGAUUAGCUAGUAGGUUGGGUAACGGCUCACCAAGGCGACGAUCCCUACCUGGUCUGAGAGGAUGACCAGCCACACUGGAACGGAGACACGGUCCAGAGUCCUACGGGAGGCAGCAGUGGGGAAUAUUGCAAAAGGGGCGCAAGCCUGAUGCAGCAAGGCCGCGUGUGUGAAGAAGGCCUUCGGGUUGUAAAGCACUUUCAGCGGGGAGGCGUUACCCGAAGAAGAAGCACCGGCUAACUCCGUGCCAGCAGCCGCGGUAAUAC